rnacentral:rRNA from 1 species
GAUGAACGCUGGCGGCGUGCCUAAUACAUGCAAGUCGAGCGAACAGACGAGGAGCUUGCUCCUCUGACGUUAGCGGCGGACGGGUGAGUAACACGUUGAUAACCUACCUAUAAUACUGGGAUAACUUCGGGAAACCGGAGCUAAUACCGGAUAAUAUAUUGAACCGCAUGGUUCAAUAGUGAAAGACGGUUUUGCUGUCACUUAUAGAUGUAUCCGCGCCGCAUUAGCUAGUUGGUAAGGUAACGGCUUACCAAGGCAACGAUGCGUAGCCGACCUGAGAGGGUGAUCGGCAACACUGGAACUGAGACACGGUCCAGACUCCUACGGGAGGCAGCAGUAGGGAAUCUUCCGGAAUGGGCGAAAGCCUGACGGAGCAACGCCGCGUGAGUGAUGAAGGUCUUCGGAUCGUAAAACUCUGUUAUUAGGGAAGAACAAAUGUGUAAGUAACUAUGCACGUCUUGACGGUACCUAAUCAGAAAGCCACGGCUAACUACGUG